AUCCCGCCGACGUGUCUCAAAUUGGACGAAAUGGUCAUCCUGGAU
rnacentral:hammerhead_ribozyme from 1 species